GAUGAAGAACGCAGUGAAAUGCGAUAAGUAAUGUGAAUUGCAGAAUUCAGUGAAUCAUCGAAUCUUUGAACGCAUCUUGCGCUCCUUGGUAUUCCUUGGAGCAUGCCUGUUUGAGUAUCAUGAGCAAAUCUCAAAGUCAGUUCCUUUUGUUGAUUCAAUUGGUUUUGCUUUGGACUUGGAGGCCUUGCAGAUUUCACAGUCUGCUCCUCUUAAAUGCAUUAGCUGGAUCUCAGUAAUUAUGCUUGGUUCCACUCGGCGUGAUAAGUAUCACUCGCUGAGGACACUGUUAAAAAGGUGGCCAGGAAAAUACUGAUUGAACCGCUUCUAACGGUCUAUUAAGUUAGACAAUUACCCUUAAGUUUGAUCUCAAAUCAGGUAGGACUACCCGCUGAACUUAAGCAUAUCAAUAAGCGGAGGA
rnacentral:misc_RNA from 1 species